rnacentral:rRNA from 1 species
UACGUAGGGCGCAAGCGUUGUCCGGAAUUAUUGGGCGUAAAGAGCUCGUAGGCGGUUUGUCGCGUCUGCUGUGAAAACCUAAGGCUCAACCUUGGGCUUGCAGUGGGUACGGGCAGACUAGAGUGCGGUAGGGGUGACUGGAAUUCCUGGUGUAGCGGUGGAAUGCGCAGAUAUCAGGAGGAACACCGAUGGCGAAGGCAGCUCGCUGGGACGUUACUGACACUGAGGCGCGAAAGCGUGGGGAGCGAACAGG